AGUGAACGCUGGCGGUAGGCCUAACACAUGCAAGUCGAACGGCAGCACGGUAAGAGCUUGCUCUUACGGGUGGCGAGUGGCGGACGGGUGAGGAAUACAUCGGAAUCUACUUUUUCGUGGGGGAUAACGUAGGGAAACUUACGCUAAUACCGCAUACGACCUACGGGUGAAAGCAGGGGAUCUUCGGACCUUGCGCGAGUGAAUGAGCCGAUGUCGGAUUAGCUAGUUGGCGGGGUAGUGGCCCACCAAGGCGACGAUCCGUAGCUGGUCUGAGAGGGUGACCGGCCACAGUGGGACGGAGAUACGGCCCAGACGGCUACGGGAGGCAGGAGUGGGGAAUAGUGUACAAUGGGAGGAAGCAUGAUGAAGCAACGCCGCGUGCGGGAUGAAGGCAUGCGGGUUGUAAACAGCUUGCGCCUGUGACGAAGCGUGAGUGAGGGUAAUGGGUAAAGAAGCACCGGCUAAAUACGUG
rnacentral:rRNA from 1 species